GAUGAACGCUAGCGGCAGGCCUAAUACAUGCAAGUCGAGCGGUAAGGCUCUUUCGGGAGUACACGAGCGGCGGACGGGUGAGUAACACGUAUGCAAUUUGCCCUGUAGAGGGGGAUAGCCUGGAGAAAUUCAGAUUAAUACCCCAUAGUAUCAUUGAUUGGCAUCGAUUAAUGAUUAAAGCUCCGGCGCUACAGGAUGAGCAUGCGACCCAUUAGCUAGAUGGAGAGGUAAUGGCUCCCCAUGGCGACGAUGGGUAGCUGGUCUGAGAGGAUGAUCAGCCACACUGGGACUGAGACACGGCCCAG
rnacentral:rRNA from 1 species